UACGUAGGUGGCGAGCGUUGUCCGGAUUUAUUGGGCGUAAAGCGCGCGCAGGUGGUGCGGUAAGUCCUGUGUGAAAUCUCCCGGCUCAACUGGGAGGGUGCGGAGGAGACUGCCGGACUGGAGGCACUCAGAGGCCGGUGGAAUUCCCGGUGUAGUGGUGAAAUGCGUAGAGAUCGGGAGGAACACCAGUGGCGAAGGCGGCCGGCUGGGGGUGACCUGACGCUGAGGCGCGAGAGCGUGGGGAGCGAACCGG
rnacentral:rRNA from 1 species